CCUGCUCCCAGAGGCCUUUGCGGGCCUGGCUGCUGUGUCACACGUGCACCAGGAGGUGGCAGAGAGGAGAGACUGUCUGUGUUCUGACCUAUGAACGUUUAAAUGAAAUCAUUUAACAUU
ensembl:snoRNA LOC120101342 small nucleolar RNA SNORA17